rnacentral:rRNA from 1 species
AAAGCGUGCGCAGGCGGUUUUGUGAGACUGUCGUGAAAUCCCCGGGCUCAACCUGGGAAUGGCGAUGGUGACUGCAAGGCUAGAGUUUGGCAGAGGGGGGUAGAAUUCCACGUGUAGCAGUGAAAUGCGUAGAUAUGUGGAGGAACACCGAUGGCGAAGGCAGCCCCCUGGGUCAAAACUGACGCUCAUGCACGAAAGCGUGGGGAGCAAACAGGAUUAGAUACCCCAGU